rnacentral:piRNA from 1 species
ACUUGCAUUGGUGGUUCAGUGGU